rnacentral:rRNA from 1 species
UACGUAGGGCGCGAGCGUUGUCCGGAAUUAUUGGGCGCAAAGAGCUCGUAGGCGGUUUGUUGCGUCGGAUGUGAAAGCCCGGGGCUUAACCCCGGGUCUGCAUUCGAUACGGGCAGACUGGAGUGUGGUAGGGGAGAUCGGAAUUCCUGGUGUAGCGGUGAAAUGCGCAGAUAUCAGGAGGAACACCGGUGGCGAAGGCGGAUCUCUGGGCCAUUACUGACGCUGAGGAGCGAAGGCGUGGGGAGCGAACAGG